rnacentral:rRNA from 1 species
UGAGACACGGACCCAGGCCCUAUGGGGCGCAGCAGGCGAGAAAACUCUGCAAUAGGCGAAAGCACGACAAGGUUAAUCCGAGUGGAUUUCCGCUAAGGAGAGAUCUUUUGCGUCACCUCUUAAAAACUGCGUAGUGAAUAAGGGGUGGGCAAGUCUGGUGUCACCCGCCGCGGUAAUACCAGCMCCCYAAGUGGUYAGGACGAUUAUUGGCCUAAAGCAUCCGUAGCCGGCUCUKUAAGUCUUCCGUUAAAUCCAUACGCUCWACSGAUGGGCCGSCSAGGAUACUACAKKACUAGGAGGCGGGAGAGGUAGACGGUACUCGGUGGGUAGGGGUAAAAUCCUUUGAUCCAUUGAAGACCACCUGUGGCGAARGCGGYUUGCCAGAACGCGCUCSACGGUGAGGGAUGAAAGCUGGGGGAGCAAACCGGAUUAGAUACCCGGGUAGUCCCAGCUGUAAACUAUGCASACUCAGUGAUGCAUUGGCCUUGUGGCCAAUGCAGUGCCGCAGGGAAGCCGUUAAGUCUGCCGCCUGGGAAGUACGGUCGCAAGUAUGAA